rnacentral:rRNA from 1 species
UCUAAAAGCCACGCCACCCUGAACGCAGCCGACCGCGUCUGAUCUCGGAAGCGAAGCCGGGCUGGGCCUGGUUAGUGCUCGGACGGGGACUUAGGA